UUUACUAUUUAUAAGGGUCCAUUUAAAACAAUUCAAUGCUCUAAAGUUCAUUAUCCAUUCUUCGAUAUAUUCAUAGCAAAUUUUAUAAAAAAUUUUAACUUCUUUUAAAAAUUUUUUUUUCCGGGAUUGGAAUCUUCCAAAGCGGUCAGUUUAUAGGCUUUAAUAUAGCCUUUAAUAUUGUAUAUAGUAGUGUAUAUAUAUAUUUUUUUAUUUAAAUUUGCCAUUAAUUUGUUUUUUUAUAUUUUUCUGCAAAAAAAAUUUUCUGUCGCUUUAUCCUUCUGAACUUAUGUGAUUAAGUUUUUGUUUUCUCUUAUAUAUUUUCUCACUCAACUUAUCUCAUCCGUUCAUUUUCUCUUUAUUUUUUCAUUUUUCUUAGCGUUACUCUUUUAUAUUUUUGUGUUAAUUCCAACUUUUUAAAUAGUAUUGUUCCUUAUACUUCUUUUUUUAUUACUUGUAUUAAUGUAGUUUUCUUUCUUUCUUAUUAUUUUUUAUUUUAUUUGUUUAUUUUAUGAAGGUGUCGCUCCAUUGACUUGCUUUUAAUAUGAGUGACACCAAACAUAAAUUUGUAAAUUAUAAUUAAGUUUUUUUUUUUUGAUUUUAUGGUUAAUUAACCAUAAGCGCAUGCGUAGUAUGUACAGUAAGGUUUUUGUUAUCCUUUUAUUUAAUUGAAUAAAUGGAUAAAAAACUUUGCUGUACAUACUACGAAUGCCUCAAGACUGUCAAGCAUGGCGUACAUACUGCACAUCAAAGAUCAGCCUGGGGAUUACAAAUGCAAAUGUUGGAUCCAUCUCUUUUCACAAAUGUAAUUUUGACAUUGUUAGAAAAAGAGGUCUGUAGUAUCUAUCUAUCUCUCCAGGUUCAUAAUACGGCCUCUCAAUUGUGUUGAAAAUGGCAGCCAUAUGUGCCUUCAAAAUUUAAAUCACUGUCAAACUUGUAUCUGGUGUUUGCCCUGUCCUCUGAUGUGCUGGAAACGGCUAGCAAUAUGUGCGCAUAAAAUUCAAAUCACUGUCAAAAUAAUUUUAUAUAUUUAACUAAUAAAAUUGAAAUGAAAUAAUAUAAAAAACAAUGUUUUAGAAAUACAAAUGAGUACAAAAUUAUACAAAUGAGUACUUUCAGAGUACAGGAUUUGAAAACAGUACGGUUUGUGAAAAAAGAGUAAAAAAACUCAGUAAAUGAGAAUAGCAGGUCACCUUAAUUGUCUACAUAAUUUUUUGGUAGAUUUCAAAGUUCUUGCAAAAGAUGGUUUUAUCUAUGAAAGUAUUGAGUUUAAUAUCAAUCUUGCUGUUAUCAUAUGUGAUGCACCAGCUAGAGCAUUUGUAAAGUGUACUAAAGGACACAAUGGUUAUAACUGAUGUGAAUGUUGUGCUUAGAAAGGAGAGUGGUGUGGCAAGAUAAUUCUCCUACAUAUUUCACUAAUUUUAAGCACUGAUUCAGAUUUUUUGUCAUUAAAAGCAUUGUGAACAUCUUAGUGGUGUGUUAAAUUAAAUUAAAUUUUGACAUGGUGACAAAGUUUCCUUUAGACUUAAUGCAUCUAGUAUGCUUAGGGGUAAUGCGAAGAUUUCUCAACUUAUGGUUAAAUUGCCCAAAUGUUGUAAAUUGUCUCAGAUUACAGUCAAUACUUUAUCUGGCGAUUGUUCCAGAUACGUCAUUACAUUCCAAGAAAUUUUUAUAGAAAAUCAAGGUCUUAAUUAGAUAUUAAAAAAUGGAAAACAACUGAGCUUAGACUAUUUAUAGUAAACACUUGACCAGUUGUUUAAAGGGAAUGGUUUUGCCAAAAAUGUAUUCAAUUUUUUAGACUUUUCAGUUGUAGUUCUACUUUCAUAAUGUUUCAUUUUGUUGAAAAAAUAUGUUAAUUUUGCUUUUCAGCUACUUAUUUUUAUAUGUAAACUUUAUCAUAAGGAUCAACUAGUGUACAAUGUCCAUUUAUUAGCACCUAUAGGAAAUAAUACAGUUAAAUUUUAGGUAUUUGAUAGAUGUCCCUCUUUCAAAUACAAAACUUUUUCAGGUCAAUUAAAAAAUGUUUGUCUAGGGGGCUCAUUUGCAAAUUUAGGGGCCCUUUUACAAAUGUAAGGAUUUUUUUUUUUUAGGAUUUUUAUUUAGAUUUUUAUUUAGUUUUUAGGAAUUUUGGGGCCCUUAUGACAGGUUUUUUUUUGGAAUGGGGGGCUUGUAUCUAGUAGCCAUGGCACUGUAUAUAAGGUAUAUACAAUAUAUAUCAAAUUAUAUACAAUAUAAAUAAAAAAUAUAUUUCUUUAAUAAUUCUAUAUAGUUUAUUUAUUAGUAACUAAAGGAAUGUUAUCAAUUUAUUAUAUGAAUCAUAUGCAUGUGCUUAUCUAUUACCUUUGAUUGUGAAAAUUACAUUUUUUAUCUGAAGAGAGUUGGGAGAAAUUUUCAUAUUGAAACGAGAUAUUGUGUAAAGAGGUUUUCAAAGAAGUCGUUUUAACAACAAUGGAAAAGCUUCCGAUUCCCGAGAUAAACCUGAAAGCAUUUGAUUCAUGAUUAAAGAAUCGCUCAAAAGUUUGCUUACUUUUGACAGUGUAAUUUUAAUUACUAUUUUUUUUUGAAAUAAACCAAUCAAUUUAUAUAUAAA